rnacentral:rRNA from 1 species
UAAUACGGAGGAUCCAAGCGUUAUCCGGAAUCAUUGGGUUUAAAGGGUCCGUAGGUGGAUAAUUAAGUCAGAGGUGAAAGUCUGCAGCUCAACUGUAGAAUUGCCUUUGAUACUGGUUAUCUUGAGUUAUUAUGAAGUAGUUAGAAUAUGUAGUGUAGCGGUGAAAUGCAUAGAUAUUACAUAGGAUACCAAUUGCGAAGGCAGAUUACUAAUAAUAUACUGACACUGAUGGACGAAAGCGUGGGGAGCGAACAGGAUUAGAUACCCUGGUAGUCCACGCCGUAAACGAUGGUUACUAGCUGUUCGGACUUCGGUCUGAGUGGCUAAGCGAAAGUGAUAAGUAACCCACCUGGGGAGUACGUUCGCAAGAAUG